GGAGGUAUAGCUCAAGUGGUAGAGCACAUGCUUAGCAUGCAUGAGGUUAUUGGUUCAAUCCCCAGUAUCUCCU
rnacentral:tRNA from 1 species